UUUAGACUGUGCCAAGGAGGAACUCAUUUGUGCAAUGGACAGUACAGGGCUCCUCUACCUUAGGAAGAGAUCUGAAGAAAGGUUUGUAUCCGAUGUGGAAAGAUAUUAACUAAAUUCAGGACAGAAAUCAGGAAAUUCUUCAGAGCUGGUGUCCUGCAUGGGUUUCCAUGGCAGAAACUACCACAAAGCAAGCAGGAACUUGAAGCCUUAAGGAAGAAAAUGACGGUGAUUAUUUCACCUCGGCCAAGACAUACUCUAGGAAACUCUGAAACUGCAUGUAUGCAGCAAGGGCCUCCACUGCCUAAAUCCUGCAGUUGGGAUGACCAGUUCAAGCCUGUGAACUGGUCACAAAUGGAAAUGUACCUCUGCAGAAUUAACCACCAGCCCCUACUCUAAGAGCAGAAAAGCACACUAGGGUGUGUACUGUGUGGCCACUGGCAUGCUGUCAGAGAGCUGAAAGCACCUGGACUUUGGUCUUGUAUUUUGCAACAGUCACAGUCUGGUAACACACAGCUUCACAGGACUCACCAUCUAAUUACAGCAACACUUUCCAGUUGAAAAACAGACCUAAGAAGAUCUGAAUUAACGCACGAAUUGGACACUUUAUGUCUGCUGAGCCCCUCAUAAACCUCUACUGCACCAGGGCCACAGCAAACCUCUCCCAGUGAAUUUUAACCAAUAUGUUUCAAUGUCUUGGUAUCUACCUUGCUAACAAAACCUACUGUACAUGACCUGGAACCAACCCACCGUGUGUUUCCCUUUGUAUUUUGCUUUCAAAUAAAACCUCUAGAGACAGACAGCACAGGCCAGUGCCCUGAGAAUGUUAAGUUGAAAACUGCUGCCUGAAACAAACUUUUCUGAUAUCUCAUAAAAUCUUUGUAAAUGUGACAAUCAAGUUCUCAACAAAAUUCACCUGGCAACAGCUGCAUUGAAACAAAGUUACUGCAGCAACAAGUAACGUCACCAUGUUAAUAAUUGACAUGGAAAGAAUGAAAAGGUGAGCAAGGGAUAAAGAGGACAAAGGAAAGAUUUCAGUAUAAACUUCUGCUGCCACUGGAAUGGUGCCACAGUAAGAGCAAAUAUGCUUCGUAUUUAAUGGAGCUAAUGCUGCUCAGCAGUUGUGGAAUCUAUCCAUCCUUUGGUCAAGGCACCUUAGCAUGAAUUAACUGAAAGUUUUUCAGAGGGAUUCACAGAAUGUCACCCGUUUUCUGACUGUGCAAGAUAAAUCCCUCAUGCCUAAUCUGCAGAACUACCAUGCACUCACAGCUGCAACUGAAGUCAAUGGGAGAUGGAAGGCAGAACAUAAAUGCUGUAUAAUGCCCCCACAUCAGACCUCAGAUGAAAUUACUGAAGGCUUCAACUGCACUGAAAACAAUUAAGAGGAAAAUUAAAACGUACGUGGCUAUCCACAGUUGUCACAAGUGAGAAAGUUUAUUUCCAACAUUUUCUGCCUGUCAUCCAUGACUGAAAAGAAGCAGAUUUUGAUCUGUGAAACAGCACACCAGUGAAAGAAGGGACUUUACGAACAGGACGGCCUACACCACACAAGUAGGAGGCUAAUCUUCUCAGUUGGAAACUAGCUGGAGCAGCCAGGAUAUUAAAUCAGCAACACAAGGGGAGGUUAUUUGGAAGGCAAAUGAGGUACAUGCUCAAAUUCAGCACCUAACGAGCAAGUUGAACCAAUGUGGCAAGGAAUAUAAUGAAAAGAAUCACUUAAAUUGUUUACGUAUUGAUCUUAGGAAUCUGGUACACUGUCACACAGUGUUCUCUUGAGAAAUCAUUUGUAUCCAGAAGAGGCUGCGAUCUAAAGACCACAGAGGGCUUCCAGUCACAUUGGUACACAGGAAAAGAACAGAAUAAUGAAAGGUCAUCAAGAAGAUGAAGAUGAGCCUCAUUUGCAAACCAGGACAUUUUUAAACAGUUGUUUCCCAUGGACUGUAUGUACAAUUGCUGCAAACACAAGCAUAAGUGUGGAACAUAUGUGAACUCCUCCACCUCUUUUAGUUCUUGUUGAGACUCUCUGACUGAAGAGUGAAAAAGGCAGAUGGAUUUUUGAGUUUUUACAGUGAGUGGAAGACCCAUAGCUUCUAUAAAUUUUGUAUAUAUACCAGUAAAGACUUUGCAGGUGGCAACCUCCCUGAGAGGAUCAGAGGUAGCAGCUGAUGUAUCGGGUGGUUAAGAAUGCAACCUCCCCAGUUCAAAUAUUGAAUGGAGAAACCAAAUCCAAUGCAUGAUAUUUACAAAUAAGAAUUACCUUGCAAAUCUCAGAUACGGCCAUAUUUCAGAAACACGCCAAAUAAACUGUUUGGCUUCCCUCUGACUGCAUCUUGAAUAAGACCAGGUGAGACAACACCAUGUGGUCCAUGCAGAACCAGAUGCACUACUGCCUGAUACUUCUACGCUCUUCUGAGGAUGUGAUAUCCCCUGGAAACACAAUAAGAGGUGGUGCUGAGGCUGAUGAAAAUGUAUACUACAUUUAAGAUGUUUACUUACCCUUGGAUCAAAAAGACAUGAAGUGACUAAAAGCAAGAUGGUACAAGCAGUCUUGCCAGCACACAGACCUUGACCAAACUAAAAGGGGGGAAUCCAUGAUACUUCAGUUGUAGCAAGAUA